AAUUUCUGGUACGAUGCGCCUGAUCCUCACCUGAAAGGGUGCGUGUAUCGGAGAGUAUCUGCCAUCCUUCUAGUUGCUGGCUGUACUUAAUUGUGUGGUCAGUGUUCUAGAUCAUUUACUUUGAAAAAAUUAGAGUGUUUAAAGCAGGCUUGCGCUAUGAAUACAUUAGCAUGGAAUAAUAAUUUAGGACUUUGCUCCUAUUUUAUUGGUUUCUAGGGGUGAAGUAAUGAUUGAUAGGGAUAGUUGGGGGUGCUAGUAUUCAUCGGCCAGAGGUGAAAUUCUUGGAUUCGAUGAAGACUAACUUAUGCGAAAGCAUU
rnacentral:rRNA from 1 species